CCCUUAGAUGUCCGGGGCCGCACGCGCGCUACACUGAAAGAAUCAGCGUGGCUUUCUCCCUGACCCGAAAGGGUUGGGAAACCCGUUGAAUCUCCUUCGUGAUAGGGAUUGGGGCUUGAAAUUGUUCCCCAUGAACGAGGAAUUCCCAGUAAGCGCGAGUCAUAAGCUCGCGUUGAUUACGUCCCUGCCCUUUGUACACACCGCCCGUCGCUACUACCGAUUGAACGGUUUAGUGAGGGCCUCGGAUUGGUCUCGGCCCGCUCUUUACCGGGCGGCGCCGUUGGUCGAGAAGACGCUCGAACUUGAUCGUUUAGAGGAAGUAAAAGUCGUAACA
rnacentral:rRNA from 1 species